rnacentral:tRNA from 1 species
AUAAAAAUAAGUUAAUAAAACUUUUAGAUUCAUAAUCUAACAAUAGACAAAAAAAUUCUUUUUUAUU